CCAAGUUGGAAUGGAUGGCUGUGCUUCUCAUCAAUGGAGGGAAGGAAGCAAUGGGUGAGGAAGGUGCCCUCACCAGAUCAUAUAGACAUGCUGACAACCAAAACAAGUGUGACAAGUGUCAACAGACCUUCCACUAUGAGAAUAGCUACCUGAAGCACAUCAAGACGAGCCACGGUGUGCAGGGGGAGGUGACAUACCGUUAUGACACCUGCCAGCAGACUUUUGCCAACCUUUGAAACCCGAGGAUCCAUCAGAGACACGUCCACAGUGACGAGAGUGUAUCCCUGCGACGUCUGCACCAAGACUUUCAAAUGCAUGAAGGACGUGACGCGCCUCCGACGACAGGUGCAUGAGGGAGGCGGCGUGCGGCACACCGGUCUUGUGUGUAACAGGGCACUGAGCUCUAAGACAGCGUUGAGGUGGAGGGGAGAGUGGAGUUGGAGGUAGGCUCCAGGAGGGGGCCAUGUUGGUACAUGGUGAGCCUUUCACCCUUUCAGCCAACCCUUCCAUCACCCUGGUCAGCCACACCACCCUGGGUGGGUUCACGGUCAUCCAGACAGAGAUGCAGGCAGGGACCCACCUACGCAUUGUCACCACAGACGGGGCCGGUGUCAUCUCUCUGGAUGGAUCCACUGUCUCUGUCCCCUUCUCCGUGUCCUCUAUCCUC
ensembl:lncRNA